GCGCCCUUCACAGUAUAUUUACUAGAAUUGGAAUGAAACAGAGAAGGUUAGCAUGGUGUGAAAAAUGACAAGCAAAUUCAUGAAUCAUUAUUUUUUUUA
ensembl:snRNA U6 U6 spliceosomal RNA